UUCCAUCCGGGAUAUUUCGUGCAUGGAC
rnacentral:sRNA from 1 species